rnacentral:rRNA from 1 species
GACGAACGCUGGCGGCGUGCCUAAUACAUGCAAGUAGAACGCUGAAGGAGGAGCUUGCUCUUCUGGAUGAGUUGCGAACGGGUGAGUAACGCGUAGGUAACCUGCCUGGUAGCGGGGGAUAACUAUUGGAAACGAUAGCUAAUACCGCAUAACAGUAGAUGUUGCAUGACAUUUGCUUAAAAGGUGCAAUUGCAUCACUACCAGAUGGACCUGCGUUGUAUUAGCUAGUUGGUGGGGUAACGGCUCACCAAGGCGACGAUACAUAGCCGACCUGAGAGGGUGAUCGGCCACACUGGGACUGAGACACGGCCCAGACUGCUACGGGAGGCAGCAGUAGGGAAUCUUCGGCAAUGGACGGAAGUCUGACCGAGCAACGCCGCGUGAGUGAAGAAGGUUUUCGGAUCGUAAAGCUCUGUUGUAAGAGAAGAACGAGUGUGAGAGUGGAAAGUUCACACUGUGACGGUAUCUUACCAGAAGGGGACGGCUAACUACGUG